rnacentral:rRNA from 1 species
UACGUAGGGUGCGAGCGUUGUCCGGAAUUACUGGGCGUAAAGCGUGCGCAGGCGGUUCGUUAUGUCCGAUGUGAAAGCCCCGAGCUCAACUUGGGAAUGGCAUUGGAAACUGGCGGGCUGGAGUGUGGCAGAGGGGGGUGGAAUUCCACGUGUAGCAGUGAAAUGCGUAGAGAUGUGGAGGAACACCGAUGGCGAAGGCAGCCCCCUGGGCCAACACUGACGCUCAGGCACGAAAGCGUGGGGAGCAAACAGG